GUACCGGUGUCGCCGCGCCGCAGAGUGUAAGCAACAAAAAGCGACAAAAUGGAGGAAAAAUAACAAAAAAAAGCUAAUUCCGCUGAGGAAAAUGAGCAGGAUGAGGAGAAAGAGACCCAAAAAGAGAUCCUCAGGCUCAGGAUUUAAGCAAAAAAAAGGCAAAUCCGCACCCAAAACCGCGCUCAGCCCCGCAGUGGCAGCGCUCCCAGGAGCUUUUCUGCAGGGAGAUUUUGAGGAUAAAAAGCGCAGAUUUGGUUAAUUGAGACUCGGUUCGGAAGUAAGAUUUUUUGUUUGUUUUUUUUUUCUCUGUUUUUCCAUUUUGGGGCGUUUUCUGUGUUUUUUUAUUGUCUGGUUGGUGGAGCGGAGCUGGCUCGGUCGGGGGUAGGGGUCUGGCUGUGCUGGGGAGGGGGGGGANNNNNNNNNNNNNNNNNNNNNNNNNNNNNNNNAGGGGUUGGGGGGGGGAGGGGGGGUGUAAUAUUCUGUAUUUCCAGGUUUUUCUCCGUAAAAGGCAGCAGGAUGCUUAAAUUUAGGCUUUUUCCCCCAAACCGUGAGUUGUAAAAGUAGGAGUGGGAAACGGGGUAAAAGGAGGCAAAAAAAACCAAAAAAACGCCAAAAACGGCUGCGGCGGUGGCAAGUAACCCUGGGCGCGGGCCGGAAUCCCCAAAUUCACUGAAAUCCCCCCGUUUUGGGAGCGGGAACGGGGGCGGGGUGGCGGAGGAGGGAGGAGCAUGGAUUUUGGGGCGAAUUCCGGCCGUUUUGGAGGUGGCGGCGGUCGGGGCGCGGCGGGCGGCCGGGGGCGUGCCGGGACCCCGCUUCCAUCCGAAACCCCCCCAAAACCAACCCCCCCCCCCCAAAUCAGCGCGGAGGGAUGUUAAAAAAAGCCGGAUUCGGUCCAAAAUAACCCAAAAUCCCCAAACGCGGCGCUUUUACCCCAAACCGGGGCUGACGGGGGGGGCUCUGUCUCGCAGGUGCAGCCACGGCGCCCCAGCCGCAGUAAAGAGGAGCGGGCGCCCCGACCCCGCCGCCUUUUUGGGGGAAAAAAGGCCAAAAAUGGGUCUGCUGGGCGCUGGUUCCCGGCUUCUCCGCACAGCUCAGUGAAAACCGCAGGAAAAUGCCCCAAAAACGAGGACGCCCGACCCGAAAAAGGCAGAGCCCGGCAGCAAAACCUCCCAAAAACGUGUAGGAAAGGGAGAAAAAAAAAUAGGUAUUUCUGGUGGUUUGAACCCAAAAAAACCGGGGGUGUGGAGCAUCCAGGUGGCGGUGGUGGUUUUUCGCCCAGGGAGGGUGUAAUUUUACCAAUUUAGCCCCAAUUUUGCUUGGUUUUUCCCCUCCGGAUUCACCAAGGAAAAAAAAAAGCAAAAAUAUAAAAAAAGGCCCAAAGUGCCUCAAAAUGAGCA
rnacentral:lncRNA from 1 species